rnacentral:rRNA from 1 species
AGAGUUUGAUCAUGGCUCAGAUUGAACGCUGGCGGCAGGCCUAACACAUGCAAGUCGAGCGGUAGCACAGAGAGCUUGCUCUCGGGUGACGAGCGGCGGACGGGUGAGUAAUGUCUGGGAAACUGCCUGAUGGAGGGGGAUAACUACUGGAAACGGUAGCUAAUACCGCAUAACGUCGCAAGACCAAAGUGGGGGACCUUCGGGCCUCAUGCCAUCAGAUGUGCCCAGAUGGGAUUAGCUAGUAGGUGGGGUAACGGCUCACCUAGGCGACGAUCCCUAGCUGGUCUGAGAGGAUGACCAGCCACACUGGAACUGAGACACGGUCCAGACUCCUACGGGAGGCAGCAGUGGGGAAUAUUGCACAAUGGGCGCAAGCCUGAUGCAGCCAUGCCGCGUGUGUGAAGAAGGCCUUCGGGUUGUAAAGCACUUUCAGCGGGGAGGAAGGCGGUGAGGUUAAUAACCUCAUCGAUUGACGUUACCCGCAGAAGAAGCACCGGCUAACUCCGUGCCAGCAGCCGCGGUAAUACGGAGGGUGCAAGCGUUAAUCGGAAUUACUGGGCGUAAAGCGCACGCAGGCGGUCUGUCAAGUCGGAUGUGAAAUCCCCGGGCUCAACCUGGGAACUGCAUUCGAAACUGGCAGGCUAGAGUCUUGUAGAGGGGGGGAGAAUUCCAGGUGUAGCGGUGAAAUGCGUAGAGAUCUGGAGGAAUACCGGUGGCGAAGGCGGCCCCCUGGACAAAGACUGACGCUCAGGUGCGAAAGCGUGGGGAGCAAACAGGAUUAGAUACCCUGGUAGUCCACGCCGUAAACGAUGUCGAUUUGGAGGUUGUGCCCUUGAGGCGUGGCUUCCGGAGCUAACGCGUUAAAUCGACCGCCUGGGGAGUACGGCCGCAAGGUUAAAACUCAAAUGAAUUGACGGGGGCCCGCACAAGCGGUGGAGCAUGUGGUUUAAUUCGAUGCAACGCGAAGAACCUUACCUGGUCUUGACAUCCACAGAACUUUCCAGAGAUGGAUUGGUGCCUUCGGGAACUGUGAGACAGGUGCUGCAUGGCUGUCGUCAGCUCGUGUUGUGAAAUGUUGGGUUAAGUCCCGCAACGAGCGCAACCCUUAUCCUUUGUUGCCAGCGGUUAGGCCGGGAACUCAAAGGAGACUGCCAGUGAUAAACUGGAGGAAGGUGGGGAUGACGUCAAGUCAUCAUGGCCCUUACGACCAGGGCUACACACGUGCUACAAUGGCAUAUACAAAGAGAAGCGACCUCGCGAGAGCAAGCGGACCUCAUAAAGUAUGUCGUAGUCCGGAUUGGAGUCUGCAACUCGACUCCAUGAAGUCGGAAUCGCUAGUAAUCGUAGAUCAGAAUGCUACGGUGAAUACGUUCCCGGGCCUUGUACACACCGCCCGUCACACCAUGGGAGUGGGUUGCAAAAGAAGUAGGUAGCUUAACCUUCGGGAGGGCGCUUACCACUUUGUGAUUCAUGACUGGGGUGAAGUCGUAACAAGGUAACCGUAGGGGAACCUGCGGUUGGAUCACCU